GCCCAAAUUGACAGCCGCAAGCCCAGAAAAAAGGCCCAACAAGGCAGCAGCCGAUGCCUUCGGUUCGGGCUUCACUGCUCCAGCCGGCAGCCGCCGCCGGUCGCCGUCCCCCCAAAACCGCGACGGCGCCUUGCCUGCCGCCCGGACGGCCGACCCGGACGCCACGACACGCACACCAUCGCUCAUGCCAAAGCUCUCGCGGUCUCGCGGCAGCAAGAGCGGCGGAGGCUGGAGCCCCGAGCCCGAAGGUGGCCAGCCCCCUCGCCGCCGGCUAGCCCCUGAAACCCCUCCCAUCCGCGGAGCACUGCCGCAUCGGCGCCGGCCGGAUUUUCUCCAACUAGUUUUGAACAGCAGCAAACAAAGAACCACCCAGAGGCUGAGGACAAAUCCAAUAGCCAUGCCAAGAUAAAGGGAUAUAUGUUCCAAAUCAACAUGAUUUCUAGUAGUAUUAUGUUAUCUCUGUCAUUCGAGUCAUGAUGAAGUGUCUGGUCCAGUUGAUUUGAAUGUGAUAUUUGCGUCCUCUUCAUGGAA